UACGUAGGGUCCGAGCGUUGUCCGGAAUUACUGGGCGUAAAGAGCUCGUAGGUGGUUUGUCGCGUUGUUCGUGAAAACUCACAGCUUACUAGUGGCGGUGCGGGGCGAUACGGGCAGACUUGAGUACUGCAGGGGAGACUGGAAUUCCUGGUGUAGCGGUGGAAUGCGCAGAUAUCAGGAGGAACACCGGUGGCGAAGGCGGGUCUCUGGGCAGUAACUGACGCUGAGGAGCGAAAGCGUGGGGAGCGAACAGG
rnacentral:rRNA from 1 species